rnacentral:tRNA from 1 species
GCGCCCGUAGCUCAGCUGGAUAGAGUGCUUCCCUCCGAAGGAAGAAGUCAGAGGUUCGAAUCCUCUCAAGCGCACCA